rnacentral:lncRNA from 1 species
UGACGGGAAAUCUUCCUGGUCUUUCUUACAAUUAACAAUUGCUCACUGCCUGAUUUUGAUUAGCAGUGGCCUGGCUUCUUGUUAGGUACCCAAGAGGCUCUGUGUUCACCUACUUACAGGAUGAUACACAGUUCAGAAGGAACCCAGAAUAAGACAAAGACUUGCCAUUCAGGAAGGUUAAAAAUAUUUGAUGAGAGCUCCUCACCCCUUUUCUGCUGGCAAGAUAUCAAGAGUAACAAUAGCUAAUAUUUAAUGAGCCCCAUAUUUAUUAACCUCAGGUACUGUGCAAAGAGGUAUGUAUACAUCAUCCCACUCAAUGCUAAUGACAACUCAAUGAAACAGUCCCUAUUACAAUUUCUACAUUCAAGUUGAAAAACUGAGGCUUAGAGAGGUUAAAUAAUUUGUCCAAAGUCAAACAUAGCUGUUAAGUGUAGAAACUGGUAUUCGGAAAUACAGAGCAUCCCCUCUUUGGGCCCUGGCUGGGUUCUCCAGAACAGACAGAAGUGGAGUUCCAUCCAACAUUGAGAGAAGUUUCAAAGGGUCAGGGGAAACUGAGCAGUGGGGCACACCUUGUUAAGUCCCAAUCAGGACCGAUGGAAGAAGCAUCUGGUGUUCCUUCUCAUUCAUUGUCUCAUUUCCACAGGGCAAGUGCAAACUGUCUGAGGAGGAAAAAAUUACUUCUAGGAUGAAGCAUUUUACCUCUUUUUCAUUUUCUAAGAUGAUCUCUCAGAUACCUUGCGAAGCCACGCAGAACAAAAGGGAGUCAUUACAUAUUUGGAAAAUGCAUUGGACCUCAUGAUUUGGGAAUGAGCUAUAAGACUGACAGCUGGGACAGCUAAUUUAAGAGUAGAAUUCUUUAGGUCCUGUACCUUAAAGGAAAAGACAGUUUUCAGGAGCUGCCAUUAAGAAUAAUCUGAGGAUGACAAAGACCCUGCCUUCAAUCCUCUAAUUAGCUUGGCUGCUCCUAUUCAUCCUCCACUUCCUGAGGUCAGUGGAGGGAAGCUGUCCAGUGAGAAGGUGGACUUCUGAUUACAUGGAGGAGAAAACGUGAAGGCGCCACUUCCUCGAAGGGCCUGAGGACCACUGACUAUAAGAAGAAAGACUCGCUGGGCAUGGUGGCUCACGCCUGUAAUCCCAGCACUUUGGGAGGCCAACGCAGGUGGAUCACUUGAGGUCAGGAGUUCAAGACCAACCUGGCCAACAUGGUGAAACCCCAUCUCUACUAAAAAUAUAAAAACUAGCCAGGCUUGGUGGUGGGCACCUGUAAUCCCAGCUACUUGGGAGGCUGAGGCAGGAGAAUUGCUUGAACCCAGGAGACGGAGGUUGCAGCCAGCCGACACAGUGCCACUGUACUCCAGCCUUGGUGACAGAGUGAGAAUCUGUCUCAAAAAAAAAAAAAAAAAAAGAAGAAGAAAGACUCAACCCGUUCUGCCUGUCCUCUAAUCCUCAUCCCUCAUCUCUAUCAUCUCUAGAGCUAUUACCAAAUGUUUUCAUUAAUGGAAUAACUUGCUGCUCUGGGCCACCAGUAUUAGCAAAUAUAUGGGUUCCAAUUGGUUUAAAAUAGUAUAUUAAAUUACAAGUCAAAACAACUUUGAUCUGGAUUGUAACUCAAGAGAAUUGUUAAUGUUUUGAAAAGAUCUGGGGCCCAUGCAUAUGAAAGGUUCAUUCUGGUUAGGGAUUUGUGGUCCAAUUUGCUUCCAAGCCCUGGUAGGAAUGCAUCAACCCCUCA